UAACACGUAGGGGGCGAGCGUUGUCCGGAUUUAUUGGGCGUAAAGAGCUCGUAGGCGGCUCGGUAAGUCAACUGUGAAAGCUCCGUGCUCAACUCGGAGAGGCCAGUUGAUACUGCUGUGGCUAGAGUCCGGUAGGGGAGCGUGGAAUUCCUGGUGUAGCGGUGAAAUGCGCAUAUAUCA
rnacentral:rRNA from 1 species